UGAUAAUUUUCUACAUUGUAGAAUCCUAGUGAAGACAUUAAUGAGGCUGGUAACUCUAAUGAACUUCUCCUUUGCAGCAGGGGUAACUCUGGGUCUUCCUUUCCUGUGGUAGUCCUCAUGAGAGCCAGUUUCAUCAUAGCUCUUGAUGGUUUUUGCAACUGCACUUGAAGAAACUUUCAAAGUUCUUGGCAAAAUAACCAGGGAUGUUGUCUUGAUAAGUGUGUGAAUUAGACAAUUUUCUUGUCCUGCUAAGCCUUCAAAAUGUGACACAUACUUUUGGGUGUCAGGGAAAAUGUAUGGUGUAAAAAGUAUAUUAUUUUCUUUAGGAAUAUAGUGAAGAAGUUGUUCAAAAUAUAAAUAGUAAAGUACAGAUACCCCCAAAAAACAACUUAAGUAAAAAUAUGUUAAAGUACCACUUAAGUACUUCACACCAUUGCAGCUUUGCAUAUUCUUAGCAUUCUCUCAACCAGCUUCAUGAUGUAGUCACCUGGAAUGCAUUUCAAUUAAUAGGUGUGCCUUGUUAAAAGUUAAUUUGUGGACUUUCUUGCCUUCUUAAUGCCUUUGACCCAAUCAGUUGUGUUGGGACAAGGUAGGGGUGGUAUACAGAAGAUGUCCUAUUUGGUAAAAGACCAAGUCCAUAUUAUGGCAAGAACAGCUCAAAUAAGCAAAGACAAAUGACAGCCCAUCAUUACUUUAAGACAUGAAGGUCAGUCAAUCCAGAAAAAUUCAAGAACUUUGAAAGUUUCUUCAAGUGCAGCCGCAAAAACCAGCAAGCGCUAUGAUAAAACUGGCUCUCAUGAGGACCACCACAGGAAAGGAAGACCCAGAGUUCUCUCUGCUGCAGAGGAUAAGUUAAUUUAAGUUACCAGCCUCAGAAAUCAUCAAUUAACUGCACCUCAGAUUGUUCAAGUAACACACAUCUCAACAUCAGCUUUUCAGAGGAGACUACGUGAAUCAGUCCUUCAUGGACGAAUUGCUGCAAAGAAAACACUGCUAAAGGACACCAAUAGGAAGAAGACUUGCUUGGGCAAAGAAAGAUGAUCAAUGGACAUUAGACUGGUGGAAAUGUAUUUUUAUCUGAUGUUUCCAAAUUUGAGAUUUUUGGUUUCAACUGCCGUGUCUUUGUGAGAGGCAGAGUAGGUGAAUGGAUAUCUCUGCUUGUGUGGUUCCCACCGUGAAGCAUGGAGGACGAGGUGUGAUGGUGUGAGGGCGCUUUUGCCGGUGACAUUGACAAUGACUCAAUACACCUCCAGGCUGUGUAAGGGGUCUUUGACCAAGAAGGAGAGUGAUGGAGUGCUGCAUCAGAUGACCUGGCCUCCACAAUCACUCGACCUCAACCCAAUUGAGGGUUGAAAAAGCAAGUAAUCAGCAUAUGUGGGAACUCCUUCAAGGCUGUUGGAAAAGCAUUCCAGAUCAGCUUAAUCUUAAGGUGGGGCGUGAGCUCGUGUUGAUGUAGGACAAGUCCACAGUGACUGACCCUAUCGCAAGCAUCAUAUGGAAGCAUGGGAAGAACAAGGUGGCAGACUGGGACAAGGAUUUUGGUGGUCUGGACAUCUAUGCUGUCUUCAAAGAGCGUACAACCCUGAACCAGACUACUGGAGAGCUGAGAAUCAGUGGAUUGAUGAAAACAGACAGUGGAGUUUAUUCUGUGGAGUGUAACAGCAGAGCCCCAUCUGUUUAGCUAUAAAAAGUUUUGCAUGUUAUUUUGGUGUUAAUAUGUGUCACAUAUCAGUUUGCAAACUGUUGUAUAGUAACCUGUUAGUAACCCAAGUGCCUCACCUUAAUAAUUUGGUCCCAUUCCCCUUCAUAACAGCCUAAUGUUCUGACUUGGUGGUGCACAUGUAGCCUAUAGCCUGUUUUAGAGAAAUGUCAUCAUUUAGUAUUCAAAUAACUUUCAUUGUCUGCUUAUAUGGCCCCUUUAUUUAUCAUACAGUUCUGACUUGGUGUACAGGGAGAAUAUUUUAAGAACGGACCAUGUUCUUAAUUCUGUCGUUGUUCAUUUCAAAAGUCCUUGUAAUGAUGACGCUGUGACUCGAGAAGCAGGUGAAACGUUUAAUAAAAUAACAAAUAUGAAACGAGACAGCGAAACAGUGGCGACAAUGCAUGAACACAGGAACAAUACCGACAGGAAUGAACAUAAGGGAGGGACAGAUAAAGGGGAGGUAAUAAGAAAGAUAAUGGCGUCCAGGUGUGAAUUAUAAUGAUCUGCAGGUGCGCUUAAUGAUGGAUGCCAGGUGUGCAUAAUGAUGAAUCCCAGGACCGAUGGUUAGUAUUCUGGCGAAGUCAAACACCGGAGGGGAGGAGCAGGAGUAGACGUGACAGUGCUGAACAAAUAGUUAUUGUGACUACGCUCAUUUUAGCUCGCUCAUUAAUGUCAUAAUCAAAAUUACGGAUUGCCUUUUAUACACUCAUUGUUCCCUUAUGCCAUAGUUUGUACACCUAAAUUGUCAGUAGAAACCACAUUUGUUUAAGCAAGUCAGACAGAUCAGCUAUGUUAUUUAAAAGUCAGUAAAUGAGUCUGAAUGAAUUGUUUCGUUGCCAGAUAAAGCUCCGCUGAUAGCCAGUAGUAGCGGUGGUAAGGAUUCCCUCCAUGAUGCUGAAAAGAAGGGUCUGCUGUUGGGCGCCGUUUGCCACUGUUAUAGUGCAAUUAAUGUAAUUGUUAGUGUUGAGUUGUGGCUUUGCUGGCAUGCAGCUACCAUUUUAUUUACUUUUUGCCCCACCAAGAUCGCCACUGUUUACAAGACAUAAACGAUCUGUCAUCAGUACCUUGUUAUAUGUGUGUGUUUGUGUAUAUAGUGCUGUGAAAAAGUUUUUGCCCCCUUUCUGAUUUUUUCUAUUUUAGCAACAUGUUUUGGACACAGAAUAUUUUUUGAUCUUCAACCAAAACAUAAUAUUAGAUAAAGGAAACCUGAGUGAACAAAUAAAACAACUUGGA
ensembl:lncRNA